rnacentral:rRNA from 1 species
AUUGAACGCUGGCGGCAUGCUUUACACAUGCAAGUCGAACGGUAACAGGCCGCAAGGUGCUGACGAGUGGCGAACGGGUGCGUAAUGCAACGGAACGUGCCCCGUCGUGGGGGGUAACUACUCGCAAGAGUAGCUAAUACCGCAUACGAUCUAUGGAUGAAAGCGGGGGACCGUAAGGCCUCGCGCGAUUUGAGCGGCCGAUGUCAGAUUAGGUAGUUGGUGGGGUAAAGGCUCACCAAGCCAACGAUCUGUAGCUGGUCUGAGAGGACGACCAGCCACACUGGGACUGAGACACGGCCCAGACUCCUACGGGAGGCAGCAGUGGGGAAUUUUGGACAAUGGGCGCAAGCCUGAUCCAGCAAUGCCGCGUGCAGGAAGAAGGCCUUCGGGUUGUAAACUGCUUUUGUACGGAACGAAACGGCUCUGGUUAAUACCCGGGGCUAAUGACGGUACCGUAAGAAUAAGCACCGGCUAACUACGUG